GCCAGCAGACCGCGGUAAUACGGAGGGUGCGAGCGUUAAUCGGAAGUUACUGGGCGUAAAGACGCAUGCAGGUGGUUUGGUUUAAGUACAGAUGUGAAAGACCCGGGGCGUCAACCUACGGAAUUGCAUUUGAAACUAGGCAGACUAGAGUACUGUAGAGGGGGGGUAGGAAUUUACAGGUAGUAGCGGUGAAAUGCGUAGAGAUCUGAAGGAAUACCGGUGGCGAAGGCGGCCCCCCUGGACAGAUACUGACACUCAGAUGCGAAAGCGUGGGGGAGCAAACAGGAUUAGAUACCCCUGGUAG
rnacentral:rRNA from 1 species